CCCUUAGAUGUCCGGGGCCGCACGCGCGCUACACUGAAGGAAUCAGCGUGGCUUUCUCCCUGACCCGAAAGGGUUGGGCAACCCGUUGAAUCUCCUUCGUGAUAGGGAUUGGGGCUUGAAAUUGUUCCCCAUGAACGAGGAAUUCCCAGUAAGCGCGAGUCAUAAGCUCGCGUUGAUUACGUCCCUGCCCUUUGUACACACCGCCCGUCGCUACUACCGAUUGAACGGUUUAGUGAGGGCCUCGGAUUGGUCUCGGCCCGCUCUUUACCGGGCGGCGCCGUUGGUCGAGAAGACGCUCGAACUUGAUCGUUUAGAGGAAGUAAAAGUCGUAACA
rnacentral:rRNA from 1 species